CAAAAGCGUAUACUAAAGUUGUUGCAGUUAAAAAGCUCGUAGUUGAACCUUGGGCUUGGCUGGCCGGUCCAUCUUUUUUGAUGCGUACUGGACCCAGCCGAGCCUUUCCUUCUGGCUAGCCUUUUGGCGAACCAGGACUUUUACUUUGAAAAAAUUAGAGUGUUCAAAGCAGGCCUUUGCUCGAAUAUAUUAGCAUGGAAUAAUAGAAUAGGACGUUAUGGUUCUAUUUUGUUGGUUUCUAGGACCAUCGUAAUGAUUAAUAGGGACGGUCGGGGGUAUCAGUAUUCAGUUGUCAGAGGUGAAAUUCUUGGAUUUACUGAAGACUAACUACUGCGAAAGCAUUUACCAAGGACGUUUUCAUUAA
rnacentral:rRNA from 1 species